UAAGCGGAGGAAAAGAAACUAACAAUGAUUCCCCUAGUCAACUGCGAGUGAAGAGGGACAAGCUCAAAUUUUAAAUCCGUUGGGUUUACCUAACCGAGUUGUAAUUUGAAGAGGCGUUUUCUGCGUUUUUGAUCAGUCCAAGUCCUUUGGGAUAAGGCAUCAUGGAGGGUGAGAAUCCCGUCCGGUUGAUCGGAUUCGCUUUACGAUACGUCAUCUAAGAGUCAAGUUGUUUGGGAUUGCAGCUUAAAAUGGGAGGUAAAUUUCUCCUAAGGCUAAAUAUUGGCGAGAGACCGAUAGCGAACAAGUACCGUGAGGGAAAGAUGAAAAGAACUUUGAAAAGAGAGUUAAACAGUACGUGAAAUUGUUGAAAGGGAAACGAUUGAAGUCAGUCAUGCCAGUGAGAAAUCAGCUUACAGGCUACUGUGAGUGCACUUUUUCGCAAGGCAGGUUAACAUCGGUUUUUGUUUGCGUCAUAAUGAUUGUAGGAAGGUGGCUCCUUCGGGAGUGUUAUAGCCUACUUUAGAUGGCGCGACGAGGACUGAGGAUUGCAGCGAAUGCCUUUGGCUACGGAUCUUUUCUUUGUUGAUCUUCAGUCGGUUGUCAGCUUGCUGACGAUCGGCUGAUAGGUUUGCAAUAGGAUGGAAUUCGAUAAAUUCGCUAAGGAUGUUGACGUAAUGGCUUUAAACGACCCGUCUUGAAACACGGACCAAGGAGUCUAAGAUGUGUGCGAGUGUU
rnacentral:rRNA from 1 species